ensembl:lncRNA
CCUUAAUCCACUGAAUCAACUGUUCCAGUAUUGUUUCUCUACGUUUCAAGGGCCAAAUAAAGCCAUUACAAAACAAUGAAGAUAACAUCUGAGAAGGCUCCAAGUGAAUUAUUGCAGGAAGAAGCUGCAAAGGAUGUGCCAUUGUCAUUAUUAAUAAAACUUCUGUCUGCCUGCUGUGCAAGGUACAGAGAUAAGCAUCAGCUGUGUCCCUGGAGGGAGGAGACAAUGAAAGACUAGUGGGAAGAAAAGUGACAAAUCCUCCUGUGAUAGUCGAUGUGGAAGAUGAAGCAUGCAUAAUGGUUUGCUUAGUUCAAUUUGCACAAAUGUCAUGGCAAAAAUACCUUUGCUAUUCUUUUACUGAAAGCCUGCACAGCAUGUCUAAAAUUCUGGAUGGACUCCUAACUGACUGUUAGGUUGAACUGCAUUUAUCCAGUAUCAGAAGAAAUGCUCUUGUUCCUUGCGUACUACAUACAGACUUGCAUUGUGAAGGUAAAAAGUUUUCAGAGAUGCACAAAAGACAAUGAAUCUUGAGUAAUUUGCAAUUUCUUUAGAAAACAGAUACAACUGUAUUAAAGACUGUUGUUAUAGAACAAAAUAACAAGAACAAAUAAAGCCGAAAAUAGCAAGCUAGAUGAAAAUCUCUUCUUAAUUUUCCAAGGAGAGAAGACUUACUGAAACUAAACCAGAUGAGAAAAAUAUUACUAUUUCUGAGAAUGGACUGUAAUCCAGUAGAACUGGAAAUUGUUUUUACUGUGAGUAUACAAUUUUUUAUCCUCCAUACAAACAAUCUUUGGAGAAGGACAGGAUGUGAGAACACCCAUCCUGUGGGGAGACUGCUAAAUCGCAGUGCUAUUUUUUCUCUAGAUCAAUAAAGCUCAAACUCUCUAGACAAAUAAAUCAUAGAAUCAUAGAAUGGCCUGGGUUGAAAAGGACCACAAUGACCAUCGAGUUUCAACCCCCCUGUUAUGUGCAGGAUCGCCAACCACUAGACCAGGCUGCCCAGAGCCACAUCCAGCCUGGCCUUGGAUGCUUCCAGGGAAGUGGCAUCCACAACCUCCUUGGGCAAAAUGCAACAGGAAAGUGAGGAAUGAACACUUAGGGACAACAAUUUCUUAAUCCAACACAGUACAGACAGAAUAGAACAAUUUAUGGACUUCUCCAAGGUCACUCACUGUCUGCCUACUGUGUUAAACUGAGGGGAACAAGGACUGAUCUCUGACCUUAGUGGCAAUGGCUAGCUUGCACUUGCACUGUUCAAGUGUCAUCUCCUCUAUAUCAUAUAAAUCUUGGAGACAGUUACUUAGCAUAAUACAGUACAGGGCCAAAGAACUAAUACAGACAAUCAACAGCCAAUUUAGGAUAUGACUGUUGAGGAC